CCUACGGGUGGCAGCAGUAGGGAAUCUUUCACAAUGGGCGAAAGCCUGAUGGAGCAACGCCGCGUGCAGGAAGAAGGCCCUCGGGUUGUUAACUGCCUUUAUUAGGGAGAUAUAUGUAGCCAACUUAUGAAUUAGGAUCGUCUAAUUACGUGCCACCAGCCGCGGCUAUACGUAGGCACCGAGCAUUAUCCGGAGUGUGUGUGCGUAAAGAGUUGCGUUGGUGGUAUAAUAAAUGGCUAGUGAAAUUUGGUGGCUCAACCCUUCAGACUAUUAGCGAAAAUGUUAAGAUCGAGACCGUUAGGGGUAACUGGAAUGGCUAGUGUAGGAGUGAAAUCCGUAGAUAUUAGGAGGAACACCGAUAGCGUAGGCAGGUUACUGAGACAUAACUGACACUGAGGCACGAAAGCGUAGGGAGCAAACAGGAUUAGAUACCCGAGUAGUC
rnacentral:rRNA from 1 species